rnacentral:lncRNA from 1 species
UUUAGAGAGAAAAAUGAGGCAGCAUCUCCAUUUGCAGGCUGGGAGCAUGCCCUGGGCCCAGGUUACAGCUCUGUCCACAGGGGGCUGCGCAAGAAAGAGUGUGUGCUUUGCUCCUGGGAGCCCCGCCCUUCCUCGAAUAUUCUGGAGAUCUCUUUUGUGGUGGGGAGACCCAGCAAAGGCUGCACACACAGCUUGCUCAAGGUCACCCCAUGAAAAGUUCAGCUGGGGAUCAAGGUCCCUUUUUUAUUUUGGGGUUUUUUGGGGGCUAAUUCUGGGACAUGGGGACCUUCUGUCACCUUCUGAGAAGGGCUCUUGAUUGUACACUGGUGCCUGAUGCCUGAGUGUUAGAAUUCAUAUCCCAAACGCACUUUAAAAAUAUUUAAAUAUCUCCGCUCUAGAUCACCCGAAUACCCAAAAAUAGCAGGUUAGUAACAAAUACCUGAAAUUUCCUCCACACCAUGAAAUAAUACACAGCCUUUAAAAUGAGGAUGAGGAUAUAACAAUGGAAAGGUUUCCAUGGAAAAUUUUUAAAAAGCAGAUAGAAAACUGUAUAUGUGAUAUGAUUUCAUGUAUUAAACAUUUAUAUAUGUUUAUUUAUAUACAUUCACAGAAGAAACGCCUAGAUAAUCAUGUACCAAACUCUUAAUAGUGGAUACUUUGGAUAAUAGGAUUAUAAGUGCUUUUAAUUUUCUUAUAAAUGUAGUAUCUUUGCUCAUUUAAAAAUGUUUUAUAUUUGCCAUAUAUCAUUUCUAUUAUUAGGGGAAAUGACUGAAGAUUCAAAAACCAUCCCUGAUAAAAAAUAUUCCAUAUCUUACUGAACUCCCAAUAUUCUUUCUCUUUCUCUGAGGUUAGGUAAUGUGGAGGGCCUGGUAAUAUUGUCAGCUUUAUAUCUCUCAGAGAUAUGAGACUAUGGUGAGCAUAGCUAUUAUUAUGUAUAGAAAAGCAGAAUAAUUAAUAGCCAAUAACCACACCCCCUAUUUGACUGCCAGAGUGACCAUCUAGUGGAAAAGAUGCUAUGAAGCAUUUUUCUUCUACUUUCCCUGCCUAGGGGCUGGAGAGACUUCUUCAUGAAGGAAUACAGGGACAGUCACAGGAGACAGGAGCACCAAGGGAUUCGGACAUGUGGCUGACACAGUCUUCUGGAGAGCCCCGGAUGGCAUCAGGGGGAAACCUGGCCUGAGACAGUGCCCUGAUGGACAAGGACAGGAAUACGGUCAUACCUCCUGCCCACUUGACCAACGACCAGGAUGAGAAGCCAACAGAUGAUGAAUAUGAAUUAAAGUUGGACAACUAGCAAGUUUAAAACUUGGACUGGGACCUAGAUCUUCCGAUUCCUACAGCUAGCCUCCCUUUCCAUCUUCUCUGUGGUCAUCACUAAUGCAGUUUUUGACCGUCUUGUCCAGAAGCUGCAAAACAGACAACAGAAGCCAGGACUGGCCCUGCCUUAGAUGGCUUUCAGUGCAGGAAAGUAUCAAGACAGUCUUGUUCGUAGCGUAUAUCUCUCUCCACCUUUUCUGCUAAGCACCUCAUGUAUGCAGCUGCCAAUGUAACACCUCCAUUUGCGUGUUUAAUCACCAUCUCAAGCUAAUGUAACCAAGCAGACUUCUUGGCCUUCAUCCCUGCCUCCUCUAGUCUUCUCAUCUCUCUCUCUCUCUCUCUCUUUUUGAGACAGAAUUUGGCUCUGUUGCCCAGGCUGGAGUGCAGUGGCACCAUCUUGGCUCACUGCAACCUCUGCCUCCUGGGCUCAAGCCAUCCUCCCAACUCAGCCUCCUGAGUAGCUGGGUCUUCCCAUCUCUUUAAAAAACAAUUCAAUUGUUCAGAACAAAACCCUGGAGUCAUAUUUAA